rnacentral:rRNA from 1 species
CCUACGGGUGGCAGCAGUGGGGAAUAUUGGGCAAUGGGCGCAAGCCUGACCCAGCAACGCCGCGUGAAGGAAGAAGGCUUUCGGGUUGUAAACUUCUUUUAAGAGGGAAGAGCAGAAGACGGUACCUCUUGAAUAAGCCACGGCUAACUACGUCCCAGCAGCCGCGGUAAUACGUAGGGGGCAAGCGUUGUCCGGUUUUACUGGGUGUAAAGGGCGUGCAGCCGGGAAGGCAAGUCAGAUGUGAAAGCCCGAGGCUCAACCGCGGAACUGCAUUUGAAACUGUUUUUCUUGAGUACCGGAGAGGUCAGCGGAAUUCCUUGUGUAGCGGUGAAAUGCGUAGAUAUUAGGAGGAACACCAGUGGCGAAGGCGGCUUACUGGACUGUAACUGACGUUGAGGCUCGAAGGCGUGGGGAGCAAACAGGAUUAGAUACCCGUGUAGUC